rnacentral:rRNA from 1 species
GACGUAGGGCGCGAGCGUUGUCCGGAUUUAUUGGGCGUAAAGAGCUCGUAGGCGGCUCAUCGCGUCUGCCGUGAAAACCCGCAGCUCAACUGCGGGCUUGCGGUUGAUACGGGUGGGCUGGAGUUCGGUAGGGGAGACUGGAAUUCCUGGUGUAGCGGUGAAAUGCGCAGAUAUCAGGAGGAACACCGGUGGCGAAGGCGGGUCUCUGGGCAUUACCUGACGCUGAGGAGCGAAAGUGUGGGGAGCGAACAGG